rnacentral:miRNA from 1 species
AAGUAUUAGAUUGGUGCAAAAAUAGUUGAAGUUUUUGAAAGUAAUGGCAAAAACCGCGAUUACUUUUGCACCAACAUAAUACUUG